AGGGGCGUGUUCGCGGAAACGGGAGGGCGCCCCCGCCGCGCGCCCCCGGGCGGGGAGGGCGGUGGAGCGCCCCCGGCGGGUCCGCGGAAGCCGGCGGUUCCCGCGCGCUCCGCGUCCGGGGAGGCUGCCGCCGGGGAGCGGGGCGGGGGCGGCGGGGCGAGGGCGCUGGGCGGCGGGGCGAGGGCGCUGGGCGGCCGCCCGCCCCUUGCCCGGGAAGCGCGCCCGCCGGGCCGGGUGACGCCGACCUUCCGUGACCUUGCCCGGCGCUCCCGGGCCCCUCCGCCGCCGCCGUCCCGCGGAGCUGCCCCGCCCGCCCUCGGCCUGCCCUCGGCCUGCCCUCGGCCUGCCCGGGUCGGGCCGCUGCUGCGGGGCCUUAGGCGCGGCGCGGGGUCGCGGCUUCCCGCCGAGGCAGCCGCCCGCCUCCCGUAGUGCGCGGGACUUGGCUUUUCAACCGCCACCGACCGGGUUUGGGGUGGAUCCCUCACCGCUACGUCUUGUUAACUUGCUAAACAAUCUUUUUUUUUUUUUUUUUUUCCUGCAAAUGCCCUGCAGGCCAACCGUAAUCCCAUUGCGACCUGGUUUUUUUGAUCCCUGUGCCUUGCUCCGCCAGGCCUGCGAGUUGCACCGCGUUUGCUGAGGCCAGGCACGAGGCCAGGCACGAGGAAGAAGCGUAGUUUAGGGCCAAAUUCCAAGUUACAGGCACCGGGGAAACUCGGAAAAGGGAGAACUCGGUUUGUCCAGGAAUCCCCCAAGAAAGCCUUCAAAGACCUGGGCAAAGCAGAGGACUGUUAAAGAAGGCAACCGUAUCAUCAGCUCAGAGGACCACCCAUCCAGCCAGAUGAGCAUGGCUGAAGUUGACAAGGUGACAGGCAAGUUCAAUGGCCAGUUUCAAGCCUCCACUAUCUAGGAGGGGCCAUUCCCAGGACGGGCAUAUAUUUGGAAACCCUUUACGUGGCCUACUCUUCAGUUUUCAGAAAAGUGGCAAGACAAUAGGACUUUCAUGAUAAAAUCAAGGAAGAUUAUCAAGUUAAAACAGAAGGGACCUCUUAUUAGUUUGUCAUUAGCUAUGUUUAUUUUUUAAAUUUUUUAUUAGCUAUGUUUGAAAAAGUUCCAUUAUUAUACACGUUAUUUUCUGUAUGUACAUAUUAAAAAUGUGAUCAGUUUUCUGUUACCAUAUAAUGUGAAAAAAACCGAGCAGAUUCUCACCAGAAUUUGAAAGUAUGUCUGGAAUAGUCAGGCUGAACUUAUAGAAUUGGUAGCAAACAUAAAAUUUAUUUAAGGUAUCUCGGGAACACCAUAAAGAUAUAAGCUGAGUCAUCCUCCAGAAAAGCUGUAGCUGAGAUAUAAUAAGAAGCUUAUGUAAUUGCCAAUUGAGAAACAUUCCACCUGUACUAGAUGCUGUGGACAGCAACUAGAAGUUCAGAAGAAAAGGAAAACAAGGUAUUUUAUCAAUCCAGUAGAAGAGAAAAAGAAAAAGAGAAAAGGUUGGUAAAUGGGACAUGAGAAUAAUAUGACAGAAAUGAGAUAAAUAUUUCACUAAUCACAAAAUCACCUUCUAGAAGAUUUCAGAUUUGUUACUUGCAAGAGACAUAUAUAAGACAAAGCCAUACAAAAGAAUAAAAAUAAAGAAACGAGAAAUACUUGAACAUAUUUAGCAAUAGAGCCCACAUUUAUAAAGGGCAAAAAUAAUAGAUAUAUUAUAAAACUGGCAAAUCUGUAAUCUCACUAGGAAAUUUUAACGUGCCACCAUGAGAAAUUUUUAAAAGAUUUAUUUAUUUUAU